CUAAUUAUCUCAAAGAUAUAUUAUGUUUGACUUAAUUUUUCUGAAAUAAAAUAAAUUAUCUUACUGAUGAAAGUAUAUAUAGAACUAAACUAAAAUAUUAUCGGUAGUACGGAGACUAUAGUACUAUAAAAUUGAUUUUUUAUGAUGAAAUAUCCAAAUUGAUGAUUAGCUGAUUUAGAUAGAAUUUAUACCAUUUGAAAAUAUCUAGAAUAAUUCUUGACGAUUUCAUCUAUUUUGAAUAUGCUUUAAUCAUAUAAAAUAAAUCUCUCAACCUUGUUUUUGUAUUGAGGCAUAAUUUUUGUUUAACAAUAGUUAUAUAUAAGUUGAUAAUUUGAUAAUUUGACGGGCAUUUGAAUCGGUGAAGUUACAAUUUAUCCAUAAAUCAAAUUUAUU
rnacentral:lncRNA from 1 species